rnacentral:miRNA from 1 species
UCACCUGGAGAGCUUGUUAAAAUGCAGAUUAUUCAUCAGAAGUUCUGAAAUGCUGCAUUUUUAACAAGUUCUCAGAUGAU